rnacentral:tRNA from 1 species
GGGCCCGUAGCCUAGUCUGGAUAGGGCGACAACCUCCUAAGUUGUAGGCCGGGGGUUCAAAUCCCUCCGGGCCCG